UGCAGUCGACGAACUCUGGUAUUGAUUGGUGCUUGCAUCAUGAUUUACAUUUGAGUGAGUGGCGAACUGGUGAGUAACACGUGGGAAACCUGCCCAGAAGCGGGGGAUAACACCUGGAAACAGAUGCUAAUACCGCAUAACAACUUGGACCGCAUGGUCCGAGUUUGAAAGAUGGCUUCGGCUAUCACUUUUGGAUGGUCCCGCGGCGUAUUAGCUAGAUGGUGGGGUAACGGCUCACCAUGGCAAUGAUACGUAGCCGACCUGAGAGGGUAAUCGGCCACAUUGGGACUGAGACACGGCCCAAACUCCUACGGGAGGCAGCAGUAGGGAAUCUUCCACAAUGGACGAAAGUCUGAUGGAGCAACGCCGCGUGAGUGAAGAAGGGUUUCGGCUCGUAAAACUCUGUUGUUAAAGAAGAACAUAUCUGAGAGUAACUGUUCAGGUAUUGACGGUAUUUAACCAGAAAGCCACGGCUAACUACGUGCCAGCAGCCGCGGUAAUACGUAGGUGGCAAGCGUUGUCCGGAUUUAUUGGGCGUAAAGCGAGCGCAGGCGGUUUUUUAAGUCUGAUGUGAAAGCCUUCGGCUCAACCGAAGAAGUGCAUCGGAAACUGGGAAACUUGAGUGCAGAAGAGGACAGUGGAACUCCAUGUGUAGCGGUGAAAUGCGUAGAUAUAUGGAAGAACACCAGUGGCGAAGGCGGCUGUCUGGUCUGUAACUGACGCU
rnacentral:rRNA from 1 species